rnacentral:rRNA from 1 species
UACGUAGGGACCAAGCGUUGUUCGGAUUUACUGGGCGUAAAGGGCGCGUAGGCGGCGUGGUAAGUCAGUUGUGAAAUCUCCGAGCUUAACUCGGAACGGCCAACUGAUACUGCUGUGCUAGAGUGCAGAAGGGGCAAUCAGAAUUCUUGGUGUAGCGGUGAAAUGCGUAGAUAUCAAGAGGAAUACCAGAGGUGAAGACGGGUUGCUAGGCUGACACUGACGCUGAGGCGCGAAAGUGUGGGGAGCGAACAGG